rnacentral:rRNA from 1 species
UGUUACUUAUAAGAAAAUUUUUCUGGAGUAUUAGUACUAAUGAAAUUUAACGGAUUUGGCGGCAAGAUAGCCCAUUUAGAGGAACCUGCCCUGUAAACGAUGAACCACGAUAGACCUUACUUUCAUUGGUAAUCAGCUUGUAUACCGUUGUUGUCAGUUAGUUUCUUUAGAAAACUUUCGGUAAUGAAAAAUUCAUUGACUUCAAAUAAAGGUGCAGCUAAUAUGGAAGAAAGAGGUGGGUUACAAUUAAAAUAGAGUAAAGCGGAUAGAAAAAUGAAAAAUUUCUUGAAGAUGGAUUUAAUUGUAAAGUUUAAAAAAGCUUGACAAGAGCACUAUCUUGUG